rnacentral:sRNA from 2 species
UGCCAGGUCGACACGAGUGCACGCGGCAGGAGCGGAGGACCCAGCAGUGCGGGGCCGGCCCGGAGCACAUCCGGGCCGCCUCUAGGGGUGAAGCCGCUGGUCAGCGGCCGGGCAUUCUUCGCCUGCCCGAACCCGACAGGUCAUCCUUCGCAGGCUGACGACGAAGGGUCG